UACGAAGGGGGCUAGCGUUGCUCGGAAUCACUGGGCGUAAAGGGUGCGUAGGCGGGUCUUUAAGUCAGGGGUGAAAUCCUGGAGCUCAACUCCAGAACUGCCUUUGAUACUGAAGAUCUUGAGUUCGGGAGAGGUGAGUGGAACUGCGAGUGUAGAGGUGAAAUUCGUAGAUAUUCGCAAGAACACCAGUGGCGAAGGCGACUCUUUGGCCUGUAACUGACGCUGAGGCGCGAAAGCGUGGGGAGCAAACAGGAUUAAGAAACCCUGAGUAA
rnacentral:rRNA from 1 species